rnacentral:rRNA from 1 species
ACCAGCAGCCAUAUCACCCUGCAACUCACAACUGGCAGCCUACUGAAGCUCAGGAGGGUUGAGCCUGGCCUGGUUAGUACCUGUGUAGGAGACCUCCUGGGAAAGCUAAGGUUGCUGCUGGAA